GACGAACGCUGGCGGCGUGCCUAAUACAUGCAAGUAGAACGCUGAAGAGAGGAGCUUACUCUUCUUGGAUGAGUUGCGAACGGGUGAGUAACGCGUAGGUAACCUGCCUUGUAGCGGGGGAUAACUAUUGGAAACGAUAGCUAAUACCGCAUAACAAUGGAUGACACAUGUCAUUUAUUUGAAAGGGGCAAUUGCUCCACUACAAGAUGGACCUGCGUUGUAUUAGCUAGUAGGUGAGGUAAUGGCUCACCUAGGCGACGAUACAUAGCCGACCUGAGAGGGUGAUCGGCCACACUGGGACUGAGACACGGCCCAGACUCCUACGGGAGGCAGCAGUAGGGAAUCGUCGGCAAUGGGGUCAACCCUGACCGAGCAACGCCGCGUGAGUGAAGAAGGUUUUCGGAUCGUAAAGCUCUGUUGUAAGUCAAGAACGGGUGUGAGAGUGGAAAGUUCACACUGUGACGGUAGCUUACCAGAAAGGGACGGCUAACUACGUG
rnacentral:rRNA from 1 species